ensembl:lncRNA
AUUUCACUUAGAUGGAAACCAGAGGUUCCCGUCACUCUGACACAGUCAGAAGAUCUGACAUCAUCCGGUUUUAUCAUCACGUUGAACGUGACUGAAGCAGCUCUGCUUCAGGGCAGCUUCCUGUCCUGAAACUCUGAUCGUCUCUUCCAUGUUUUGGUUCUGCACCAGAUGAGCCGAUCGCAUUUCAUUUCCCCGAUCUCCUGCACGACGACACGGCUGACCAGCCCUCCCCUCCGUCAGCACCAGCUGCUGCCUGUGGGCCUCAAUCUGCCAAUUGCAGUGACUUUUACUUUCCACAGUAAAACAGACCUUUCAGCUUUUAUUUUGAAGAGCUGGAUGUAAAUGUGCUCGUCAGCACUCGGCUCAGCUUCUGUAGUUUUAAUGUGGCUGUAAAUAAAACAGGCACUAUGGAAAGAUUCAGGCGUGUUUCACAGCAUGUCUGUGGGAUCGCACAUACCGACCUCAUCAUCAAACACACUGCUGCUUGCGCUCUAUCUAACCUAUUAGUGUUAGGUGGGGUUGGGGGGGCACCGAGGCUCUCAUUAGUUCCCAGAACUUAAAAAAAUUGUGCAAACUCGUUGCCUCAAAAAAAGUAAUGCUUACUGAAGAUAACGACAUCGUGCUCAAAGUUUCUGACUGUGCAGGACGAACUUUUACCCUCUGACAAACAUUUCAGCUUCUACUACAUUCAAAAACUAUUUGUGGUAACUUUUUAAAAUUUGCUGACACACUAAUUAAAUGCAACUAAAUCACAUUAUGUUUGAUCUCGUUGAACUUUAGAGAUUUCUGGUACAACAUUUAAUAUAAACACUGUAUGAUUUAAACAUAAUAAUUAACAACAAACUUUUAUUUUCAAAUCCACAAUCAGGUGAUCAUCCAACAUCCUGUUCUACUGAACAGCAAAUGAGUACAAUGUCAUCACUGUAGCUUUUGUUAUUUAAUUAUAUUUUAAAUAUUGUCAUGGUCCUGAGUCUGAGGACUCGGUGUUUUGUGUUUCUUUACAUUAUUCUUUGUUCUCGGUUAUUCUGUUUUGUAUUUUGUUUAGGUUUGCUAUGUGUUAGUGUUUUGUUUCAUGCCUGCCUGUGUUCCCUCUGUCUGUCCAUGGUGUUAUUGUGUCUGCUCAUGAGUCUGCCGGUCAAGUUCAGUGUCCUGUCUGGGUCUCUGUGUCUGUUAGUUUCCUGUUUUAUUCUGAAAGUUCAUGUCUCAUGUCAGUGUGUUCAGUUUUACCUCUCCCCUGUCUCGUUAGCCUAAUUGCUCCCAGCUGUGUCUCCCUCCUGUGGCCCAUUCCCUGAUUACUCCCCGUGUAUUUAAGCCCUGUGUUUUCCUGUGCUCUCUGUCGCGUCGUCUGUUUAAUUCCUUCUCAGUCUGCAUUAUUCUGUUACCCGGUAUUCAUUCUGCGUCUCUCUGCCAUCUCUCUUUGUGCAUUUUGCUCCUCCUCCCAUGAGUGUCUGGUUUAAAUGGCCUGUAUUUAUAUAGCGCUUUACUAGUCCCUAAGGACCCCAAAGUGCUUUACACAUCCAGUCAUCCACCCAGUCACACACACAUUCACACACUGGUGAUGGCAGCUACAUUGUAGCCACAGCCACCCUGGGGCGCACUGACAGAGGCGAGGCUGCCGGACACUGGCGCCACCGGGCCCUCUGACCACCACCAGUAGGCAACGGGUGAAGUGUCUUGCCCAAGGACACAACGACCGAGACUGUCCAAGCCGGGGCUCGAACCGGCAACCUUCCGAUUACAAGGUGAACUCCCAACUCUUGAGCCACGAUCGAUUUAAGUUUUGUUCUUUAGUUUUCCCAGUUUAGGUUUGUUUACUCCCCGCUCUGCUCUUCCUGUUUUGUCACCUUCUCACCGCUGUAAAUAAACACUCACUCGCACCCCAGCCAGUACCUGCAUUUUGGAUCCUUUUUUCAAUACACCACACGACUGCCCCCAGCCGUGACAAAUAUGAUCACAUUUAAAUGUUAUAUUUAGUUGUUAGCCUAUUUAAUAAUCUCACAAUGAAACAAUGUCUCAGAUGUAAUUAUUCUACACCAAGUUUAGGCUUCCUGUAGCUUUGUAUUGUAGUUACAUCACUGACAUAAUCAAUAUAAAUGUAUAUUGAUCAAACAACACAGAAGCUGGCGUGUUGUAGUAUGUUAAGGAUGGUUUAUUUCCAUUACUGCCUGAAGAAAGUCUUUAACACUGUCCCAGCUUCCCUCCAGUACAGUGGCAGUGGCUGUGGGUUGGAGAGCCAAUUACCUUGAUCCUGCAGGUGACCAUCUUCACUGACUGCACCACCUGUGACGGAGGACUCAUCUCACCUGAUCUGGGUCGUGGAGACUGGCAGUCUAAGCAGAGAACCCCCACACCUCCCUCCCCCGUAGCUCAUCCAGGGGAACUCCAGAGUGUGCUGGUCCUGGGACACGCCCACAACCCCUCAGCCAGGAGGCAUCCUAGUCAAACCACGUGAACUGGCUGCUUUCAAUGUGGAUGAGCAGCAGCUCUACUCUGAGCCCAGCUUGAGUGACUCUUCACCAGGAUGGACUCCCUCCACAUCACUGCAGCUGUGGCCCCAAUCCAUCCAUCUCUCGUUCUCGUGAACAACACACUCCUCAACUUGGGGCACCAACUCAUCCCUGAUGCAGAGUGGGCACUCCAUCCUUUUCUGGCUGAGGAUCGUGGCCAUAGAUUUAGAGGUGGUGACUCUCAUUUCAGCCACUCCACACUCAGUCGUGAUUCGCUCCAGUGAGAGCAGGAGGCCACCACCUGAUGGCUGACCAAGCCCAACAGAACCCCAACAGGACCCCUCUUCAGCUUCAUGCUCAUUACCACCAACAGGCACCAACCACCCUAAAGUCACAGCUCCUUGCAGCAGCCUCAACGAUAUCCAUCCUCAGCAAUGUUCCCUCACUGCUGGCACGGUUUCUGCACACAGAAAAUCUGCUUUGUGCACAAAAACAAAUCUACCCUGAAUUGAAAUUAAAACUUUAACAAUUCUGUUUUGCAGUGUUAGUCAGUGAGUGACUGGCUGAUGCGAUUCACAUUCGUAUAUACGCAGCUAAUCAACGUGGUUGACAGGCUAUGACAGCGUCCUUAUGUUAGUUGUUAGUUGUUUAGGGAGGGGAAGUUUUAGGAGUGACGGCGUGUUUGAGAUGUGAGAGAUUUGCGACGUUUAGCACAAAUCUUGUGUAGUUAGUGUGUAGUUAGUGUGUAGUUAGUGUGUAGUGUAGUCAGUAGUUUUGUUGUGUGUGUCAGAACAAUGAGGCGCCUGCUGAGUGUUACAGGUGUUACAGCAGUGAAACAUCUGCUGCUGUCAGGCCUGCAGGUAUCAGGCUGUUGUUCUCCUUCAUCUCAUAGUGGACAGGAAUUAUUUUUGGAGCGGCACAAAUAAUCUGUGUGGCAUCAGAUUUGAUGCAGAACAGCUGAUUGUUCUGUAAAUAGUUUGAAAUGUUUAUUUAAUAAACGCCUUGGCUGCAUUUUUAGGUAAACAGCUGCAAAACACUUUGUUGUUUGCAUGACUCAGUUACUUUUUUGAAGAAGUAACUAUAUAAUUAAUUACCCAGCAUUGGUCAUUAUUUACUGUAUUUCCAGACAGAGUUACAGACUCUCUCCCAGACCACAGACUCACAAUACAGUCAGAGCAAAAAUAAAUAAAUAAAAAAUUUAAAAAAGAAAGUUGUGUUUUCAAGUUAUUUUUGCUUCCAGUAGUGUUAACAUGCUGCACAUGGACAAGAUCUUUUUUAAAUUCUCAUUGUCAGUGGGCUAAUCAGGUAAUUAAAAGUCGUCUAACAUAAAUGCUGUAAUUUGAUUAUUUUAAAUAGUCCAGUCUGUUUUUCUUAAUGUUACUGUACUGGAGCAACUGUAACCCAC